GAUGAACGCUGGCGGCGUGCUUAACACAUGCAAGUCGAACGGAAAGGCCCAAGCUUGCUUGGGUACUCGAGUGGCGAACGGGUGAGUAACACGUGGGUUAUCUGCCCUGCACUUCGGGAUAAGCUUGGGAAACUGGGUCUAAUACCGGAUAGGACCACAUUUUGGAUGGUGUGGUGGAAAGUUUUUCGGUUUGGGAUGAGCUCGCGGCCUAUCAGCUUGUUGGUGGGGUAAUGGCCUAACAAGCCGUCGACGGGUAGCCGGCCUGAGAGGGUGUACGGCCACAUUGGGACUGAGAGACGGCCCAGACGCGUACGGGAGGCAGCAGGGGGGAAUAUUGCACAAUGGGAGCAAGCCUGAUGCAGCGACGCCGCGUGGGGGAUGACGGCCUGCGGGUUGUAAACUACUUUCGCUAGGGACGAAGCGCAAGUGACGGUACCUGGAGAAGAAGCACCGGCUAACUACGUG
rnacentral:rRNA from 1 species